AUUGAACGCUGGCGGCAUGCCUUACACAUGCAAGUCGAACGGCAGCACGGGAGCAAUCCUGGUGGCGAGUGGCGAACGGGCGAGUAAUAUAUCGGAACGUGCCCAGUCGUGGGGAUAACGUAGCGAAAGCUAGGCUAAUACCGCAUACGAUCUAUGGAUGAAAGCGGGGAUCGCAAGACCUCGCGCGAUUGGAGCGGCCGAUAUCAGAUUAGGUAGUUGGUGAGGUAAAGGCUCACCAAGCCGACGAUCUGUAGCUGGUCUGAGAGGACGACCAGCCACACUGGGACUGAGACAGGCCCAGACUCCUACGGGAGGCAGCA
rnacentral:rRNA from 1 species